rnacentral:sRNA from 1 species
UUAUACAAUUGAUUACGCCUACUAAGAC